UACGUAGGGGGCAAGCGUUGUCCGGAUUUAUUGGGCGUAAAGAGCGUGUAGGCGGCCGUACAGGUCAGCUGUGAAAACUCGAGGCUCAACCUCGAGACGUCGGUUGAAACCGUGCGGCUAGAGUCCGGAAGAGGAGAGUGGAAUUCCCGGUGUAGCGGUGAAAUGCGCAGAUAUCGGGAGGAACACCAGUGGCGAAGGCGACUACCUGGCCUGUUCUUGACGCUGAGGCGCGAAAGCUAGGGGAGCAAACGGG
rnacentral:rRNA from 1 species